rnacentral:tRNA from 1 species
GGCUCGAUAGCUCAGUUGGUAGAGCAGAGGACUGAAAAUCCUUGUGUCACUGGUUCAAUUCCAGUUCGAGCCACCA